rnacentral:rRNA from 1 species
GAUGAACGCUGGCGGCGUGCCUAAUACAUGCAAGUCGAGCGAACAGACGAGGAGCUUGCUCCUCUGACGUUAGCGGCGGACGGGUGAGUAACACGUGGAUAACCUACCUAUAAGACUGGGAUAACUUCGGGAAACCGGAGCUAAUACCGGAUAAUAUAUUGAACCGCAUGGUUCAAUAGUGAAAGACGGUUUUGCUGUCACUUAUAGAUGGAUCCGCGCCGCAUUAGCUAGUUGGUAAGGUAACGGCUUACCAAGGCAACGAUGCGUAGCCGACCUGAGAGGGUGAUCGGCCACACUGGAACUGAGACACGGUCCAGACUCCUACGGGAGGCAGCAGUGGGGAAUCUUGCGCAAUGGGCGAAAGCCUGACGGAGCAACGCCGCGUGAGGGAUGAAGGUCUUCGGAUCGUAAAACGCUGUUAUUAGGGAAGAACAAAUGUGUAAGUAACUAUGCACGUCUUGACGGUACCUAAUCAGAAAGCCACGGCUAACUACGUG